CCUACGGGAGGCAGCAGUGGGGAAUUUUGGACAAUGGGCGAAAGCCUGAUCCAGCAAUGCCGCGUGAGUGAAGAAGGCCUUCGGGUUGUAAAGCUCUUUUGUCAGGGAAGAAACGGUGAGGGCUAAUAUCCCUUGCUAAUGACGGUACCUGAAGAAUAAGCACCGGCUAACUACGUGCCAGCAGCCGCGGUAAUACGUAGGGUGCAAGCGUUAAUCGGAAUUACUGGGCGUAAAGCGUGCGCAGGCGGUUUUGUAAGUCUGUCGUGAAAUCCCCGGGCUCAACCUGGGAAUUGCGAUGGAGACUGCAAGGCUAGAAUCUGGCAGAGGGGGGUAGAAUUCCACGUGUAGCAGUGAAAUGCGUAGAGAUGUGGAGGAACACCGAUGGCGAAGGCAGCCCCCUGGGUCAAGAUUGACGCUCAUGCACGAAAGCGUGGGGAGCAAACAGGAUUAGAUACCCUGGUAGUCCACGCCCUAAACGAUGUCUACUAGUUGUACGGUUUUAAUUAACUUGGUAACGCAGCUACGCGUGAGUAGACCGCCGUCGGGAGGUACGGUCGCGAGAAGUAAACGUACGAAGAAGUAGACGGCGUGAGACGUGACCGACGGACGACGACGAGGGAGGAGG
rnacentral:rRNA from 1 species